rnacentral:lncRNA from 1 species
GUGACGGGAGUUGUAGUUCUUUCACCUGGCGGGCGUCUGCUCCGGUUCAGCUGCAGGAGGUUUCUUGGGAGUUCAGCCCAGCGCGCAGCCCCGCCGCGACGCCGCGAGCCGAGAACUCUCCUGGGGCGAAGGGAGCGCUGAGAAGUCGCUACUCUUACUAAAAGGAUGCGUUGGAUGCUGGGCCAUACCCUUGGCGAUGCACACUGGAGACCCGCUCGGAUACGGACUCCAUUAACAUCAAACGGAGCGUGUUAGAGGAUCCGAGUUUACUGAGCACUUUCUAGGAAGCGUGCACUGAGCUACGUGCUUUCUAGGCCUUAGUUCAAUACUUAACCAUAUUCAUUAUAAUCCGGUGAAAUCGUAAUUAUUUAGCCUUAUUUUACAGAUGAGGACACUGCGUACCAACAAGUAACCUCACUAAGAAUUUCGUCAUGGAGGAGAAGGGAACCUGUAUUCAAAUUAGGAAGGAUCCUGAAGAAAGGGCACCUUUAGGUGGAAUUUUAUCUUUGGUUCUGCUGCAGAGUACUUGCUGCUUUUUAGUGCUCCCUCCACCCCCCUCAUUCUUCCUUGUAGAUUAGUCUGUUGUUUGUAUGCUGAGUUCCUUUUUUAAGCUCCUUGAAAGUUGGAACCCACUGCUGUUGCCUGUUCAGGAUGCUACACAUUGAAUCAACAUGGAUUUAUUAAGCGCUGAACGAGGGCUAGGGAUCGUGCUGGGUGCUGAGGAUUGAGUGGCGAACACUUGGGUCAGACAAGUAAAAGGGCAAUUAGAAUAACUGUUAAAUGCUUAGAUGGGGUUAGUUCUAUGGAAGCACCCAUGGGGGUGGGAUACAGAUCAGAGAGAAAAGGGUGGUCUGCAAAUAGUUUGGGAUGGCUACACUGGAGAGUGAUCAAGAGUGAGUGUAGGGCAGGGGUUGGCCGACUUUUUCCAUAAAGUGCUCUGAAAGUUGCAGAUUCCAGGAGAAGUAACUAUUGUCAGACCCAGACAAAUUGGAGCCUAGAGACCAGAAAGGAAGGAAACUCAUGCUUGUAUGUCUGAGAUAAGAACUGUCUCAAGGCCAGACGCGGUGGCUCACACCUGUAAUCCUAGUACUUUGGGAGGCCGAGGCGGGCGGAUCACGAGGUCAGGAGUUUGAGACCAGCCUGGCCAACGUGGUGAAAUUCCCGUCUCUACUAAAAAUACAAAAAAAAAAAAAAAAAACUGGGUGUGGUGGCGGGCGCCUGUAAUCCCAGCUACUGAGGAGGCUGAGGCAGGAGAAUCGCUUGAACUCGGAGGAGGUUAUAGUGAGCCGAGAUCGUGCCACUGCACUCCAGCCUGGGCGACAGAGCAAGACUCCGUCUCAAAAAAAAAAAAAAAGAAAGAACGAACUGCCUCAAGGACUUUAAAAAAUAAACCAAAAAACCCACAAUUUCUUCACAUCUUUCAUGCAUUUAAUGUUUUGCACAACUUGCUUGUUUUGCAAAUAUGCGCACAUUUCUAUGACAAGAUUUAUUGCUAAAUAUUCUUUAAAACUGCAGCAGUUCAGAUAAGAUACUGUCGAAAGGACGUUUGGCCCAGCAGCAGGACCUCCACCAAUGAACGGACUCCAAUUCUUGAUUUGAGCCUUGGGAACCAAUCAACUUAGUUUCCAAGAGUUUAUGUGAACUUCCCUCCUUUACCAGUAAAAUCUUCCCCCUAUUCUUCCCUUCUCCAGACCCGUGGCUUGCCAUAGCUGUACAUCUUGGAUUAUAAUUCUUUUUGUUCACUCCCAAAGAAACUCAGUAUCUUUGGAGAAUUCUUUCUUUGUUGUCUUUUAGCUUCCCAGAGCCAAACAAGAAAUAUUUUAGGUUUUGUGGGUCAUGCUGGCUUGGUCACAGCUAUUCAACUUGUAUCUUAAAAUUAGCCAUAGACAGUAUGAAUGGGUGGGUCUCUGUUCCAAUAAAACCUUAUCCUAAACACUGAAGUUUGAAUUUUAUGUAAUUUUCAACUGUCAUGAAAUACUCAUCUUUUGAUCUUUUUCAGCCACUGAAAAAUGUAAAAGCCAUCCUUAAGUUGCAAGCUAUACAAAAACAGACAGUGGACUGGAUUUGACCCUUGAGCCAUUUGUCCAUGUGCCCUCACCUGAUCUAGAAAGCUAAAAUGCACAUGCCUCACGCCUGUAAUCCCAGCACUUUGGGAGGCCAAGGUGGGCGGAUCAGCUGAGGUUAGGAGUUCGAGACCAGCCUGGGCAAUAUGGAGAAACUCUACUAAAAGUACAAAAAAAUUAGCUGGGCGUGGUGGCAGGUGCCUGUAAUCCCAGCUACUCAGGAGGCUGAGGCAGGAGAAUUGCUUGAACCCAGGAGGCGGAGGUUGCACUGAGCCGAGAUCACACCACUGUACUCCAGCCUGGGCAACAAGAGUGAGACUCUACCUCAAAAAAAACAAAGAAAUUACGAAUUUUAAGAUGGUGAUAGCAGAGCACUAAACCCAGAGUGGGGCCCGUGUGACUGCACAUUUUGCCCACCCAUGAAGCCAGCCCUGGGUGCGUCCAACUUCAGGAUUCCCCCCCCCAAAAAUCAGUUCAGGAACCCUAUGUCAAAAUAAAAAUCAAAGACAAAUAUGAGCACAGAGAGACAUUUUUACUUGCAGUUCAAGAAAAUCAGACUUUCAGAGAGUGGCUCGCUAAAUAGAAUAGAGGAAUUUAUAGCUCAGAUGAAAUGGCAGAUAUUUAUAGCUCAGAUAUGGCAGUUCAUUCCAAUUGGAUAAGAACAAGAUGUUCCUGUUUUGUGGUAAGGAAAACAGGAUGUUCUUGUUUUUGUGGCUUAUCUCUGGAGGCAAAGCUUUUAGGAUUUCCCGUUAGUCAAGGCUUUUAGGAGGUUCCCGCUAUUCAUGGUUUAUCUUUGAAUGCAAAGUUAUUGGGAAUGAAAGUCUUUUCUAGUGUAUGGUAAGUGAUUUGUAGGCAGGGUUAGGCUAAGGGCAAGAUAUUUUCCUUUUCUCCUCUCUGUUUGCUGUGCCCACUUUAAUAUAGUUUCCUCUAGCUCAGAAUCUCCUCCACUUCCUACCAUAGCUACCAUACAAAGUAAACGUUAUCAUAGAUUGUUGCUGUGGGUUUGUUUUACUUUACUCCAGGCUGGAGUGCAGUGGCGCAAUCUCGGCUCACUGCAACCUCUGCCUCUCGGAUUCAAGCAAUUCUCCCGCCUCAGCCUCCCAAGUAGCUGGGAUUACAGGCAUGUGCCACCAUGCCAGGCUAAUUUUUUUUUUUUUGUAUUUUUA